UACGGGGGGGGCAAGCGUUGUUCGGAAUUACUGGGCGUAAAGCGCGCGUAGGCGGCUUCUUCAAGUCGAAGUGUGAAAGCCUCCAGGCUUAACCUGGGGAAAUUGCGCUCGAUACGUGUUGAGCUUAGGAGUGUGGAAAGGGGCUACUGGAAUUCCGUGUGUAGCGGGUGAAAAUGCGUAGAUAAUACGGAGGAACACCAGGUGGCGAAGGCGGCUCACUGGCUCGACACUGACGCUGGAGGUGACGGAAAGCGUGGGGAGCAAACAGG
rnacentral:rRNA from 1 species